CAGCAGUAGCCGCGGGAAUACGUAGGUGGCAAGCGUUGUCCGGAAUUAUUGGGCGUAAAGGGCUCGCAGGCGGUUUCUUAAGUCUGAUGUGAAAGCCCCCGGCUCAACCGGGGAGGGUCAUUGGAAACUGGGAAACUUGAGUGCAGAAGAGGAGAGUGGAAUUCCACGUGUAGCGGUGAAAUGCGUAGAGAUGUGGAGGAACACCAGUGGCGAAGGCGACUCUCUGGUCUGUAACCGACGCUGAGGAGCGAAAGCGUGGGGAGCGAACAGGAUUAGAUACCCCCGUAGUCCCUGUCUCUUAUAC
rnacentral:rRNA from 1 species